rnacentral:rRNA from 1 species
UGCAGUCGAGCGGAUGAGAGAGCUUGCUCUCUGAUUCAGCGGCGGACGGGUGAGUAAUGCCUAGGAAUCUGCCUGGUAGUGGGGGACAACGUCUCGAAAGGGACGCUAAUACCGCAUACGUCCUACGGGAGAAAGCAGGGGACCUUCGGGCCUUGCGCUAUCAGAUGAGCCUAGGUCGGAUUAGCUAGUUGGUGGGGGAAAUGGCUCACCAAGGCGACGAUCCGUAACUGGUCUGAGAGGAUGAUCAGUCACACUGGAACUGAGACACGGUCCAGACUCCUACGGGAGGCAGCAGUGGGGAAUAUUGGACAAUGGGCGAAAGCCUGAUCCAGCCAUGCCGCGUGUGUGAAGAAGGUCUUCGGAUUGUAAAGCACUUUAAGUUGGGGAGGAAGGGCAGUAACUUAAUACGUUGCUGUUUUGACGUUACCGACAGAAUAAGCACCGGCUAACUCUGUGCCAGCAGCCGCGGUAAUACAGAGGGUGCAAGCGUUAAUCGGAAUUACU